AUAAGCGGAGGAAAAGAAACCAACAGGGAUUGCUCUAGUAACGGCGAGUGAAGCAGCAACAGCUCAAAUUUGAAAUCUGGCUCUUUUAGAGUCCGAGUUGUAAUUUGCAGAGGGCGCUUUGGCGUUGGCAGCGGUCCAAGUUCCUUGGAACAGGACGUCACAGAGGGUGAGAAUCCCGUACGUGGUCGCUGGCCUUCGCCGUGUAAAGCCUCUUCGACGAGUCGAGUUGUUUGGGAAUGCAGCUCUAAAUGGGAGGUAAAUUUCUUCUAAAGCUAAAUACUGGCCAGAGACCGAUAGCGCACAAGUAGAGUGAUCGAAAGAUGAAAAGCACUUUGGAAAGAGAGUCAAAUAGCACGUGAAAUUGUUAAAAGGGAAGCGCUUGCAGCCAGACUUGCCCGUAGUUGCUCAUCCAGGCUUUUGCCUGGUGCACUCUUCUAUGGGCAGGCCAGCAUCAGUUUGGGCGGUUGGAUAAAGGUCUCUGUCAUGUACCUCCUUUCGGGGAGGCCUUAUAGGGGAGACGACAUGCAACCAGCCUGGACUGAGGUCCGCGCAUUCGCUAGGAUGCUGGCGUAAUGGCUGUAAGCGGCCCGUCUUGAAACACGGACCAAGGAGUCUAACAUCUAUGCGAGUGUUUGGGUGUCAAGCCCGAACGCGCAAUGAAAGUGAACGGAGGUGGGAACCCUUAAGGGUGCACCAUCGACCGAUCCUGAUGUCUUCGGAAGGAUUUGAGUAAGAGCAUAGCUGUUGGGACCCGAAAGAUGGUGAACUAUGCUUGAAUAGGGUGAAGCCAGAGGAAACUCUGGUGGAGGCUCGCAGCGGUUCUGACGUGCAAAUCGAUCGUCAAAUUUGGGCAUAGGGGCGAAAGACUAAUCGAACUAUCUAGUAGCUG
rnacentral:rRNA from 1 species